ACGUACCUGAAAUUUAAAGCGAUAAGUAGGAUUUGCGAAUGUAUAGAUUAUUAGGUCCGGCCCACAACCACAAGAAUGGAGGCGGCCCAUCCCACGACUGUCUGGGCACUGGGCCGGACUCCUCCCUCCGUCUCAUUCAUCGUUCCGGCCGCCGGCCGCCGAUCCCCCGCCCCCCCAAUCCGAUCGGCACCAUGCGACGCGGCGGCUACUCUGGCCGCGGCGGAUUCGGCGCCGGCCACCAUAGCAGCAGCAGCAGCAGCAGCAGCAGAAGCAGCGAUGGCAGGGGAUACCAUGGGGGGAACCCUUGCCUCACGAUGCACCAGCCGUGGGCGUCGCUGCUGGUGCACGGCAUCAAGCGCGUCGAGGGACGCUCCUGGCCAUCCCCAAUCACAGGCCGCCUCUGGAUCCACGCAGCCUCCAAGGUCCCGGAUCCCGACACCAUCAAAGCCAUGGAGGAUUUCUACAGGGAGAUUUAUGCCGUCGACGGGAUCACGGACAUCAACUUCCCACAACAUUACCCCGUCUCGCGUCUCCUAGGCUGCGUUGAGGUGGUAGGAUGUCUCGGGUCCCAGGAGCUUGUUUGCUGGGAACAUGUGCCGCAGUCUGUGAGACUUGAAGGGCUGACUGACUUUUGCUGGCUUUGUGAGAAUCCACAGAAGCUGGUGGUUCCCUUCGAGAUGCGUGGUUACCAGGGUGUCUACAAUUUGGAAAGAAGGAUUUAUGACGGCGCUGUGAGGGGCCUUACACCCGUUCAAGGUCCGCUGCCCGUCAAGUUCCCUCUUCCAGAUCCAAGAGAUGGCCUCUCUCUCAAGCCGGGAUCCCUCACAUUCAUUGAUGCUCCCAAGUCCGCGCUACAAAAGUCCCCGAGUGUUACCGCAGCCAUAGCCGGGGCUCGAGCGGCAGCUACUCAGUUCUCAAAGAAGGAUCACAAUGCCGCCGCUACUAGUACUAGUCAUGUGCGAGAGCAAUGCUCAGGUGAUGGUAAUCUGCCAUCCAUCACUGUCCAGGGGAGCACUGCAGCCUACUCGCAGAACCAGGAUGCUGAGCCUCCGAGACGUCCGAGACUAGAAUUGGAGCUUCCUUCCAAUAGGCUUGUUACAGUGGCACUGAGGGAACUGAAGCAAUUACGCGGGAGCGAGAGAGGAGGAGGGCAACCAGUUGGCAGAAGCUGACCAAGCCGAGGAGUAACUUGCUUCGAUCCUUGUAUAAAACAAACAUACUGGAAAGAAGAAGAAGGUUUCGCGAUCCUUCAAAAAAAAAAAAAGAAGAAGAAGGGAGGAUCGAAGGCACGCAGGGUUUGACAAGUAAUUAAGCCGCCAGGCCAGAGGGUAAACCAUCAACAUGUCCAUUGCAUCUCAGUGUAAAGGUGGUUAGGCAGUCGUCAUUCCAUCUACUUGUGGCUUGCAUUGGACCCUUGCCUGCCUUUUGGUCAACGUUCAAGUCUUGCUAGCUAGCUAAAGCAAUCACCGGCGGAUCGAGCGACUAUACAAACAACGGCACGUGCUCCAAGCUAAUUAUAUACAUUAACCAAUAAGCUAGCUAGCAGUGUCGAUCAUGAGUAGUAGUCUUUUUAAUGAAGCCAAGUUGGUACUGUAGCUAGCUCAAGUAUAUAUACUUAUCAAGCAAAUGGCGGAGCUAACGACCUAACUUGCUUGGGCUGCAUGCACUGGAUGUCAUGACAGCGAUGCAUGCAGAGCACCUGCGCUAUAGCCUCUUGUCUUGCUCUUUAUUUGUUAUGAUCGCUACUCUUUUCCGUAAAUAGUGCUAGCUGCUGUGCAAUAAUGCAUCCUCA